GUGACUCCCCCCUGCUCAGCCCUGUGCAGAUAACAACUAUAAACUCUACAAAGUGUAAAAACAAACUACCUGAACACACUGGGGAGUGAACAUAAACAGGCAGGUGCUAAAUGGAUGUCACCACUUGGAAGGAAGGGACGAUACUGGAACCAUCUGCCAGCUGAAUAUGCCUAGACUGGCCUGUUGGAUGCAGAGAGACUCAUGGACCCACCAUUGCCCAGAUGGGGGCCAGCAAAGCAGAGCCCCUGCUCACUUGGCAGCAUGAGAAUGCCUCCUUAAGACCAGCAGAAGAACUGCCCAGCUGAUCCCAGCCUAAAUUGCUACCUCAUGAAUUGCGAAUGACACUGGGACAACCUUGAAGCCACAAGGUGGCAGAACUGCAAGACAGAAGCAGCUUGGGGCCCUGAGUCACUGCUUGCAGCAGAGCUACACAGCAGUGCCACCCAACCAGGAAUACUUGCGUUGAGCAAGAAAUAAAGGUUUAUUGUGUCAAGCACCUGAGAUUUGGGGAUUUAUUUAUGACAGAUAGCCUAGGCUACCAGACUAAUAUGAGCUAAUUAAGUUGGAGUUAGGUGUUACUUGCAGCCAAAAGCAUCUUGCCUAAAGCAUCAGAGAAGAAUCCAUUAAGUACAGAUCACCAUCUCAAAACUCGUUUUAUUUGUCUUUAUUCACAAAAAAGCAGCUAGCAUAACAGCAAUUCAAUCUAACAUCCAGGAGUUGCUUGCUUUCAACCUGAUGACUUACUUGGCUUUGCUGUUGCCUUUAGGGUGGCUUUGAUUUUAGACUCAUGAUUUAUUAAAUUCUCGGAUGCUGCCACUUGGUUUCUGGUUCCCAGUUCUCUCUCGGUCUUAGCUCUUUCUGAACUGAACUUGCGUGGAGCUUCUGUUCAAUAAACAUCCUGACUAAAUACCUAGAAGUAGCACGGCUGUCCCACUCCUACUGUCUGUAAGAGGGACUCUCAGCUGACCCUCUAUGGCUGAGUGUUCCCCAGUUCUAGAAGUGUCUUCAGGCACAGUUUCUAGUCAGCGUUUAUUUGGUAACUAGGAACAGAAACUCACUCAGCCUUGCUCAAGGAAAGGGAGGAUUGUUGAAGGAAUGCAGAUAAAUUGUCUCGGGGAUCUGAGAACGGCAACUUAGAUACACCUGGGCCUUGAGGAAACGGGACAGGGAAGCUAUUAGAAAACAAGGAAGCCACUCUCUUCCUCUCCCUUGUGAUGUUUGUGCUUUCCUCUGAACAGCUCCAAAUGCAUUCUCCUUCCUUCCUUCCUUCCUUCCUUCCUUCCUUCCUUCCUUCCUUCCUUCCUUCCUUCCUUCCUUCCUUCCUUCCUUCCGGUAUUUGAGCACUCACCAGGUGAAUAGCUCCAUAUCAGGCAUGGAGGAUACACUCAAAGACUUAUUUUCUUGGGGGGAAACCUAUAAAAAACAAGUGAAGAAAUCCACAAAAAUAAAAUAUUAUAAACUUUUGCACUAUUAAGGGAAUAAGUAUGGACUCUAAUAAAGAAUAACAGGUGAUCUAUCUAUUUCACAGAGCUAGCUAAGGAAGUCCUCUCUGAGGAGGUGAUGCAUCAGCUCAGACUUGAUUGGUGACAAGGGGCCAGCCAUAUAAAGAGUGAGAAGAUAUUUUAAGCAGUGGGAAUGGCAGGUGCAAAGGCCCUGGGACAGAAAUGUUUGGCUUGACCAAGGAACUGAAAAGGAAGGACAGCCUCACUGGAGUGCAGGUAUCGAGAUGAAAGUAGCAGGGAAUAAUAUUGAAUAGGUCAGCAUGCCUUAGAUAAUGCAAGCCCCUGGAGAUGCUAGCAAAAGUUUGGAUUUUAUUUAAGUACAAUGUGAAGCCUUUGCAGGGUGUUCCUCUCUUUACUGAAUCAUUUAAAAAUAAUAUCAGCUUGCAUUUGACCCACUGCUGCUGCCCUAGCCCCAUGGCUGGCUCCCUCAUAUCCUUUCGGCACUAGUACCUAUAGCCAGCUAGUGAUUGCCUUCUGUGUCUCUUACUUACAAAUCCCAGUAGAGGCCAGGCAUG